rnacentral:rRNA from 1 species
UAGGGAAUCUUCGGCAAUGGACGAAAGUCUGACCGAGCAACGCCGCGUGAGUGAAGAAGGUUUUCGGAUCGUAAAACUCUGUUGUUAGAGAAGAACAAGGACGUUAGUAACUGAACGUCCCCUGACGGUAUCUAACCAGAAAGCCACGGCUAACUACGUGCCAGCAGCCGCGGUAAUACGUAGGUGGCAAGCGUUGUCCGGAUUUAUUGGGCGUAAAGCGAGCGCAGGCGGUUUCUUAAGUCUGAUGUGAAAGCCCCCGGCUCAACCGGGGAGGGUCAUUGGAAACUGGGAGACUUGAGUGGCGGAGAGGAGGGUGGAAAUCCAUGUGUAGCGGUGAAAUGCGUAGAUAUAUUGAGGAACACCAGUGGCGAAGGCGGGUCUCUUGUCUGUAACUGACGCUGAGGGUCGAAAGCGUGGGGAGCAAACAGG